GCCCAGCCCUAAACUCUGAUAGUCUAACUACACUCACUAUCCGCCCGGGUACUACGAGCUUUAGCUUAAAACCCAAAGGACUUGGCGGUGCUUAAGAUCCACCUAGAGGAGCCUGUUCUAUAACCGAUAACCCCCGUUUAACCUCACCCUUUCUUGUUUAACCCGCCUAUAUACCGCCGUCGUCAGCCCACCCUGUGAAGGUCCCGUAGUAAGCUUAGUUGGUAUGCCCCAAAACGCCAGGUCGAGGUGUAGCGUAUGAAAGAGGAAGAAAUGGGCUACAUUUCCUAAACAGGAAACACGGACAAUAAACUUAAAUGCCUAUUAGAAGGAGGAUUUAGCAGUAAAUGAGGAACAGAGCGUCUCACUGAAAUCGGCCCUAAAGCGCGC
rnacentral:rRNA from 1 species